GUGGUAGGUGUCGGGGAGGAAUUCCCGGUGCCGGAGCAAACGCAAUAAGCACUCCACUUGGGGAGUACGACCGCAAGGUUGAAACUCAAAGGAAUUGACGGGGGCCCGCACAAGCGGUGGAGCAUGUGGUUUAAUUCGAAGCAACGCGAAGAACCUUACCAAGGCUUGACAUACCUUUGACAGAUGUAGAGAUACAUUUUUCCUUCGGGACAAGGGAUACAGGUGGUGCAUGGUUGUCGUCAGCUCGUGUCGUGAGAUGUUGGGUUAAGUCCCGCAACGAGCGCAACCCUUAUCUUCAGUAGCCAGCAAGAGAGAUGGGCACUCUGGAGAGACUGCCGUGGAUAACACGGAGGAAGGUGGGGAUGACGUCAAAUCAUCAUGCCCCUUAUGUCUUGGGCAACACACGUGCUACAAUGGCUGGAAACAAAGUGAAGCGAGACGGUGACGUUAAGCAAAGCACAAAAACCCAGUCCCAGUUCGGAUUGUAGUCUGCAACUCGAGUACAUGAAGCUGGAAUAGCUAGUAAUCGCAAAUCAGAAUGUUGCGGUGAAUACGU
rnacentral:rRNA from 1 species